UGAGCUUUAUGACUUCCUUCUGGCUUGGUUGUAAGCGAAAAUCACCUCAAAAGGGGCGUGGGUAAGAGCUACUAGCCUUCUUGGAAUGCCUACUAUGUGCCAGACAUGAAAGCAGAUGCUUUUUUCAAAUACUUCUGUCGGAUGAACUUUCUUAUUAUUGUGGUACAGAUGAGGAGGCAAAAUCAUUUGUCUAAGACCCCACUGUUUCAGCUGCAAGCUUUCGUGGCUCCUCAGUUUGCAUUUUUUCCUCACUGCAGUAUCACUUUGUGAAGGAGGUCUGAAGUCUUCAAAUGAAAAUAGAGUUUUCUCCUUAUGAUAUAUACAAGAGGAAAUGAUAAGAGAUUUUGACUACUUAUCACUGAAAACAAUGGAGGCCAGAAGACACUGAAGCAAUGCCUUUAAAGUGAUAAAUGGGACAAAAACCUGCCAACCAAGCUUUCUACAUCCCAAGGAAAAAUGUCCUUCAACAAUGAAGAUAAAAUAAAUACCUUUUCAGUGAACAAAAGCUGAGAGAUGCAACUAAGAAGACAAUAUAAGCAAUAAAACACAAUACCAGUAUUAUUCAAUUAACUCAAAAUAGGUUUUAAAAAAGAGCAGCAGAGGAACAAAAACAUGAGGGAC
rnacentral:lncRNA from 1 species